rnacentral:tRNA from 1 species
GCUUCCGUGGCUCAGUUGGUAGAGCGAUUGAUUCGUAAUCAAUAGACCGUGGGUUCGAGUCCCAUCGGAAGCU